UAUACCUGGACUGGACUGUCCCUCUUGCAUUUAAGAGGGGGUAGAGAGUAGGAAAAAAGGAGUGUUAGCAGAGAGGAGGGGGAAGGAGAAGCUAGGAAGGAGGUGUUGGGGUGACGGGAGGACGGCUGCAUGGCUGCUUUUCUUUUCUCUGAAUUUCCACACUCCUAUUUCUCUCUUCUUUGGGGGGGCUUCAUUCAUUCCAGCAAGUGAGUGAGAUUGCAAAAGAAGCAAGGACAGUUUCAGACAGAGAGAGCAAUCAAGACAAAUGCGUUGUCCUUUUUUACAAGCAGAUAUUGCAGAAAUAUGAUCUUUAAGCCUAUGCCGAUCUCUUUUUGCUAUUGAAAAAGUAAUUUCUUUUUAAUAUUCCUGUUAAUUUCCCUCCCUACCAGUUCUUCCUUUUCUUUUUUUCACUCAACCGGAGCUCCUUUCCCAUUUUUACAAAUAUAUGUGCGUAUUUUAGCGUGGUGGAUAUGAAUGCAUUUAGGCCCUGCCUUUAAGGGAGUAAAGAGACAAAAUAGCUAACUGUGGAGGGGGCGUGGCCUGCGAGCCUGCAGCAAAGCGGGAUGUUGCUAGGACCGGCCUCGAAAUCAGCGACAGCACCAGCCAGGAGGAGAGACAGGGUUGGGGCUGGAGCCAGAGCGCGAGUGAGGACGAAAGAGAAAAAGACAAUUGCUGGAAAGCAACUGAGAGACUAAUUGAAAAAAAACAACAAUAUUUUCCCCAAAACAGGCUCUCAUGUCGGUGCUUGGUGGUCUGAAGAACCCCCAGGAGGGCAAGCCCAAC